ACAGGCGUGCUGUUGGUAGGGUUCUUGACUGGCUUAGUAGCAUCAAAGUGCUCAAGUUAGCAUAUUUGGUUGGAAUUAUUAUCUGUUGGGCAGGAAAUGGCUGCGUCUGUGCAAAGUUACUCCUCCAGAAAGCCGGCAAUGGUCCUCCAGGACCGCUGGUAGAGCUAUGGAUACAGUGAGGCCCCGGGGCCGGCGCACUAUGACCUGGAUCACGCAUGACAAUAAGCCCUGGCUCGCGUUCCUCUCCUUGCCCUUCCCCCCACCACGCAGCGCUGCCACAAUCGCCUUUAGAGUCGAUGCUCAGGGCAUAGCCGGGAAGCCAAGCCCGCAGAUUGGAUAUAUGCAGGCGAUCCCCAAGUCUCCGUAGAAUGGAAGCACGGACGAGAACACAGAAGGCAAUAUGGCAAUAUGCUUUUACCCGCCAUCACUAUAUCAUGAACAGCAACAGCAGCCUCAACAGCAGCCGCAGCUGCAGCAACAAGACCAGCUGGCAACUCGGAUUUGUCAGCAUCCAUUCACCGCCGCCAUGCCGCGGCAUCACACAAUACCGUGCCGUACAGUCUCGUCGUACCAUCAGGCGGUCCUGUCCUCUCCACCCAAACUCUCCACAGGGUGAGAGAAGUUGACCCCUACCAACAAAGUGGAGCACAUGGCCCAGAAGCUUCCCA
rnacentral:lncRNA from 1 species